GACGAACGCUGGCGGCGUGCUUAACACAUGCAAGUCGAACGGAAAGGCCCUGCUUUUGUGGGGUGCUCGAGUGGCGAACGGGUGAGUAACACGUGAGUAACCUGCCCUUAACUUUGGGAUAACUUCAGGAAACUGGGGCUAAUACCGGAUAGGAGCUCCUGCUGCAUGGUGGGGGUUGGAAAGUUUCGGCGGUUGGGGAUGGACUCGCGGCUUAUCAGCUUGUUGGUGGGGUAGUGGCUUACCAAGGCUUUGACGGAUAGCCGGCCUGAGAGGGUGACCGGCCACAUGGGGACUGAGAUACGGCCCAGACUCCUACGGGAGGCAGCAGUGGGGAAUAUUGCACAAUGGGCGGAAGCCUGAUGCAGCAACGCCGCGUGCGGGAUGACGGCCUUCGGGUUGUAAACCGCUUUGGCCUGUGACGAAGCGUGAGUGACGGUAAUGGAUAAAGAAGCACCGGCUAACUACGUG
rnacentral:rRNA from 1 species